GAAGCUGGAUUCAAGAGGGUGAAGGAUGGAGUUGAAGGAGUUUGUCUAUCAUUAUAAGCUCCUAUACAGAGUAGACAUGCAGAACUGAGCCCUACAUCAGUUUCCACCACAAUAAAAAAUUAACUCAGCAAAAAUCUUAGAGAAGCGGAUUUCAUCAGACUUCCCUGAGCCAACAAGAUCCUCCUUUGGGGCCUGAUUCUCCUCCCAGAAGUCAAUGGGAAAUUUGACACUAACUUCAAUGAGAGCAGGAUUGGGUUCCUCCUGUCGAAAGCAGAGUAGAUGUAUUUAAUCCUUUUAAUUAAAAAGAUGCUCUUUGAAUAAUAUUUGUAUUGAGUAAUUUGUUAUCAUUAAAUGUGUUAUGUUUCAUGAACUUUUCCACUUAGGAAAACCAAAUAAAAUUCUUGGUGCUUGGUCCUAAGUUUGAGUACAGACUCUUGUCUUUAGAAACAAUAGAUGGUUGUAGAAAUAACGCACUGCAUUUGUGGUUGACACCUAACCUAAUAUCUAAGAAUGUUUUGCCCUUUCAUUAAAUAUUCCUUUUGAAAUUGUUCUUGAGUUAUUUUGCCAGCUAUUUUGAACAAUAAGUAAAUAAAAGGAAAAAACUAUGUGAAAACACACCUAUGGGUUUUUUUUGUUUGUUUUUUGGUUUUUUUUGCAACCUGACACUGGUUGAGGGUCUAAUCUAAAGCCAAGAUGACUGCUGGAAACAACUAAGACUGAACUGGGGGAAAGAUCUGGGCCCAGCUGGAAGGGCAUCUCGCCUGUGAAGAUUAUUAGAACCACAUUUAGGGUGAGAACUCAUAUGUAACCAGUUUCUUUAAUGUGUUAAGCUUAGUUUGCGUGCUCUGUUUUCUUUUCUUAGUAAUCUGCCUUGUUC